rnacentral:rRNA from 1 species
AACGAACGCUGGCGGCAUGCCUAACACAUGCAAGUCGAACGAUACCUUCGGGUCUAGUGGCGCACGGGUGCGUAACGCGUGGGAACCUGCCCUUAGGUUCGGAAUAACUCCCCGAAAGGGGUGCUAAUACCGGAUAAUGUCCUCGGACCAAAGAUUUAUCGCCUUUGGAUGGGCCUGCGUUGGAUUAGCUAGUUGGUAGGGUAAAAGCCUACCAAGGCGACGAUCCAUAGCUGGUCUGAGAGGAUGAUCAGCCACACUGGGACUGAGACACGGCCCAGACUCCUACGGGAGGGAGCAGUGGGGAAUAUUGGACAGUGGGCGGAAGCCUGAUCCAGCAAUGCCGCGUGAGUGAUGAAGGCCUUAAGGUUGUAAAGCUCUUUUACCCGGGAUGAUAAUGACAGUACCGGGAGAAUAAGCUCCGGCUAACUCCGUG